CAACCCUUAAGCCCUGUUGCUUAGUGUUGGGAGCCUGCUUUACCGCAGCUCCUUAAAGUUAGUGGCGGAGUUAGGUCGCACUCUGAGCGUAGUACAUUUUCUCGCUUUUGCAGUCGUCGUACCCCCAGCCAUAAAACCCCCUAUUUUUAAU
rnacentral:misc_RNA from 1 species